rnacentral:misc_RNA from 1 species
GAAAGAUGGAAGUUCGUGUUGUGUCAAAAGAACUCAUAAAACCAUCUUCGCCAGCAAUCCAACAUAAAAAACCCUACAAACUCUGCCUUUUAGAUCAGCUUACUCCUUCAACUUAUUCACCAGUUAUUUUCUUCUACCCCAUGGAACCUUCUUAUUCCGCCAAAGCCUUGUCUCGCCUGAAAAGUUCUCUCUCUGAGACCCUUAAUAUCUACUACCCUUUCUCUGGAAGAUUGAAUGAUAACCUCUAUAUUGAUCGUUUCAAUGAAGGUGUUCCAUUCUUCGAAGCCACAAUUAAUUGUCGCAUGUCUGAUUUCCUUAAACACCAUGAGAUUUUGUCUUUGAACCUUCUUUUGCCACUCCAGCCCUUUAGCAAGGCGGCAGACACGAACAUACCAAUACUAG